rnacentral:lncRNA from 1 species
UACAAACAUUAAAAAUCAAAUUAUUUACAAUACAGCCCACCAAUCAUAUACAAUCAUUAAAAAUUAAAUCAAAUUAUUUAUAAUACAACCCACCAAUCAUUUUGAUAUACAAUCAACCAACCACCAUAAGAAUACAACCAUUAAAAAUCAAAUUAUUUACAAAAUUUAUCGAAGUUCCAAAUCCAAACUAUAAAACAUAGAAAAUACAAAAACUACAACUCAUCAUCUCCAUCUUUAAUCUCAGCAUCACCCACUCUAUUAUCAAUAUUUCGUUGAUAUAUCCAGUUAUAAUCAGGUUCCAUCUACACAAUCAAUCACAUUCAAGUAAUUAGUUCAAGUCACAAAAUCUCAUAUUUCAAAUACUUGCACCUAAACAUUUUCAAGUCACUAAUUCAAUUCACAAAUUACCAAACUAAACUAAAUUCAAAUGAAAAGUUCACGUUUCAAGUACCUACACUUAAACAUUUUGGUCACUAAUUCACUUCUAAAGUGACCACACUUUACAAAAAUCAAAACGCAAGUUCACAUUUCAAGUACCUAAAUUCAAACAAAAAUCACUAAUCCAUAAUUCAACUACACUUAAACAUUUCAAGUCACUUCACAAGUUACCUAACUAAACUAAAUUCAAAAUGAAAAGUUCACAUUUCAAGUACCUAAAUUCAAACAAAAAUCACUAAUCCAUAAUUCAACUACACUUAAACAUUUCAAGUCACUUCACAAGUUACCUAACUAAACUAAAUUCAAAAUGAAAAGUUCACAUUUCAAGUACCUAAAUUCAAACAAAAAUCACUAAUCCAUAAUUCAACUACACUUAAACAUUUCAAGUCACUUCACAAGUUACCUAACUAAACUAAAUUCAAAAUGAAAAGUUCACAUUUCAAGUACCUACCCUUAAACAUUUUCAAGUCACGAACUCACUUCUCAAGUGACCACACUUGACUAUAUUCAAAACACAAGUCCACCUUUCAAGUAACUACACUUAAACAUUUUCGACUCACUAAUGCACUAAAGUGACCACACUUAACUAAAUUCAAAACACAUGUUCACAUUUCAAGUACCUACACUUAAACAUUUUAAAGUCACUAACUCACUUCUCAAGCGACCACACUCACUAUAUUCAAAACACAAGCCCACCUUUCAAGUAACCACACUUAAAACAUUUUCGACUCACUAAUGCACAUCUCAAGUGACCACACUUAACUAAGAGCAACAUCAUGUUCACCACAUUUUAAGUACACUUAACACAUCAAAGUUCAACUUAUAACUCCACACAUAUUCAUGCAACUUCUGGCCUAAUCUCAAAUCGCCUAAUUUCGCACAAGCAGAUAUCACAACCACCAUCAUCCUUUGGUCAGCCCUUAACCCAUGAUCCACCAUUUCAAAGAACAAAUCUAUUAUCAACAAUUGUUGACAACCCUCAAUGUGUAAUAACAAAAGAUUAAACUAAAACUAAUAUUUACAAAUCCCUUUUCUUUUUUCUCUCAUAAAUUGAUUACUUAAAUUAUUCCACACAUAAAGAAGAAAAGGUCAAAAGUACAAUAUAAUAACGAAAAGAGAUACAGAGUGAAAUUUAACCUUUUAAUCAAAUCUAUUUGACAGCACAAAAUUACUCUGAGAACUAGUAGUAGCAAGUUUUUAGUUUCUCGUAGUCACUUUUGUACAAACGACAUUCAAACCAAAAAAUACCCUGUAAAGUCCCUGCAAUCGGAGGGCAAGUAAGAAGGAAAACAUCUUUUAGGAAAAUCAAUUGUCCUUCAAUCGGAGGUACCAAAUUCGUAUUUACCAUAACAUAAAAAGAACUACAACGUGGCAACACAUCUAUAUCUACUUAGCAGAAAGAAAAUUAAAAAUAACUCAAUUAGUUAUUUCAAAUUACCAUAAAUAACUAAGAGAACAAUACUAAUUUAAGAGAGAAUAAAUAAUAGUCAUAUAUCAACGUCAGUAUUUACCAUAAAGAAGAUAUCAAAGCCCGUAAUUUCAAUUAAGUUAUACCAUAAUUUAAGAAUGUAAAAGCAGUCAUCAAAAUCAUGCCGUAAUUGUAGCGUGAAAAUCAAUCUAAAAAAAUCAUAUCUAUCAGACACAUAGGGAUUUCCCUAAUUAAAGUAGUAACAAUCUGUCAGAAUCAUUCAAACAUAGACAUUAUGCCAUAAUUAAAGGAACGUAAAGACAAUCAAUUUAAUGGAAAGAACUGAUAUUGUAGACAUAAAAAAAAACCACACGAAUCUCGUAAUAAACUUUUUUUUGAGUAAAAAUGUUACGACUCUAGCAAAGCCUAGGGUUAAAAAAUUAGGCAUUUUUGUAUACGAGGAUCUAAAUACAUUGGCAUACCAAAAAUACAAGAAUCACUUUUAAAAUUCUAAUCAAAUUUAUUCAAUUUCACAUACCGUAGAAAAAUGUUAAAAAGAAGUAGAAGAAAUGAAAAACUUUGAGAAAUCAAACCUGAAACGAAUUUCGAAGAACCCGUCGUUUUCCGGUGGGUGAGCGGCUGUGGUUCGCUCUUGGUUGGUCGAAGAACGGGCUGGACGGGGCUGAAUCGCAGCUAGGAUUUGGUCGUCGCUGGCAAGGGGGCUGGUCAGAGGGGUCUCGCCGGCUGACUUCGCCGGCUGCAUGGUUGGGUUGCAGCGGCGGGGGACGUAGCGGUGGCUGGCGGCGUUGCUGCUGGUGGCGCUGGUUCGGGGUCUCGCUGCUGAUGGCGACGGCGGGAGAAGGCUACUGACGGCGGCAUGGUUCGGCGGGGUCUUGGAUCUGUCUCGCCGGCGACGGAGGCGAUGGAGCGGCGCUGGUCAUGUGUCGUCGUUGGUUGAGGAGAGGAGAAAAGAGGAGGGAGAGAAGAUGGGGGAGGCGGAAGUAGAGAGAAAAAGGGAAAUGAAAUUAGGGUUUGGGGGUGUCUGGUUUUAAAAAGGAAAAAGAAGGUUUUGAUUCUC